UGCGCAAUUCCUGCGCGCGCGCCGCCAUAUUCUGCGGGAACGUCACUUCCGUCGGUGCCAGUGUACAGCGAGCGGGCUCCUGGACUCUCAGUGGAGCCGUUGCUGGAAUCCCCGUCGACAAUGCACAAUAUCCGCUCGUCGCUCUAUCGCUUAGGUCAAUGGGCGACGAUUCUCAAUUCAUAAAAUGUCGGUCGUUCCAUUCACGCCGCGGCGCAAUGCUCCACGGUCCGUUCACUCGUGACCCUCGCGUCUUCGAAUAUUCAUGUCUUCAUCGAUAACAUCGUAACCUCUUGACUUCUUUUAGUAUUAUCGUGCGUUUAGUGAACAUCACUAGUUGAGGCCGGACUUCGGAGUGCUAAAUGCGAACUGUGUCGUAUCAACUGGACAGUUCAGUUCUGCGUAACCAUUGCGAUGUGAAUAAUGUGUGCAGUGUUUUUCAUCAGUGAAUUAUUGGAAUAGUACAGGACAAACCACAUAACUUCGGCGACAUGACUGGCGCACAUUUCAAAUUUCGAACACUGGGUUGCUUCGGAUGGCUUCAAUUUUCAAUCUGUGGUGUUGGAAAAAAAAAUAUAUCGAGGAUCUAGGAUGCUGCGAAUUGCGCCUGAGUCAGCAUGAUGUCAUUGCUACUUAAUGGGAGCGUCCCGGCUCGUCAUACCCCAAUCCUGCAUACCAGCGAAUCGAGCGAUGACAAAUCCAUUCAUAUUUCUCUAUUGUGCGUUGCGGUAGUGUUUGACAAUUGACUUAUUAGUCUUAGUUAAGCGUAAGAAUUCUACGGGUAUCAUAAAUGUAUUUACUGCCUAUAUACAUGAUAGUUUUAUACAUUAAGUCGUAAUUAAUUAAAACAGAUUGAAGAAUUUCAAUUGGAAGACUGGAGUGAGAAGAAAGAAGAAAAGGAAUAACGAAACUGGUUUUCAUAAUGAUUUGACAGAUUUUAAUUUCUGAGAUCAUUUUGAAAGCUGAUUUUGUUCCUUAAAGAAAAAGACGACUUGCUCAACGUUUAUGAAGAAUAGAAGAAGAUAUACUACUUACUUGACAUUUAGACAUGUACUUUUGUGUGUUAUGUUCUAAGGUCUUAUUUUGUAUCUAUGUGCUAAUAAAGAAUCUGACACUAGGGAUAGUUAGUAACUAUUGUAUUUAGUGAACAUAAUAUUUUAUAAAAAAAAAAUCUUUUUCCUUACCACAGACAAUUUUCUUAAUUUAUUAACUUAUGAAAACCAUUACUUUUAUUAUUUUAGUUUUGUAUUGUACAAAGCCAAAAACCAUUUGUAGAAUUAAGUUAAAUAUUAGAUAGAUUAGAUAAACCUAAUGUAUGUAAGAAAUCCUUAACUGUGAACUAAAUAAUAUUGAUUAAACAAGUGAAACUAUCAUAAAAUUUGAACAUACUACCUAGAAUGUAUUAAGUUUUUUUAUCUAAUUAUCCUCUAAAUAAAUUUAUAAAAGCAAAAUUGACUAAAACUAUUCAGUAUGUUUCAUUGAAUACAUUUAUUAAUAAGUACAUAUAUUUGUACUUAAUUCUAGUUAAUAUUUAACUUCUAAAAACGUAAUUGAAUUAACCAAGUCCGCAUGCCACGUGGCCAUCUAAGCCAUGACGCCGAUUAACAAUUGAAACAAGCCUUUAAUAAGUUGGAUAUGAUUAAAUUUAAACGAUGAAGCCAUUCUUGUGAACAAGUAUGAAAAG